AGGAUGAACGCUAGCGGCAGGCCUAACACAUGCAAGUCGAACGGUAACAGGAGAGCUUGCUCUCGCUGACGAGUGGCGCACGGGUGCGUAACACGUAUAUAACUUACCUCUAACUGGGGCAUAGCCCGAAGAAAUUCGGAUUAAUACCCCAUAAUAACAGAAAUUCGCAUGUUUUUCUGUUUAAAACUCUGGUGGUUAGAGAUGGGUAUGCGUCCUAUUAGUUAGUUGGUGAGGUAACGGCUCACCAAGACUUCGAUAGGUAGGGGUUCUGAGAGGAAGAUCCCCCACACUGGUACUGAGACACGGACCAGACUCCUACGGGAGGCAGCAGUGAGGAAUAUUGGACAAUGGACGAAAGUCUGAUCCAGCCAUGCCGCGUGUAGGAAGACGGCCCUCUGGGUUGUAAACUACUUUUAUAUGGGAACUAAACCCCCCGACGUGUCGGGGGCUGAAUGUACCAUACGAAUAAGCACCGGCUAACUCCGUGCCAGCAGCCGC
rnacentral:rRNA from 1 species